rnacentral:rRNA from 1 species
AUUGAACGCUGGCGGCAUGCCUUACACAUGCAAGUCGAACGGUAACAGGUCUUCGGAUGCUGACGAGUGGCGAACGGGUGAGUAAUACAUCGGAACGUGCCUAGUAGUGGGGGAUAACUACUCGAAAGAGUGGCUAAUACCGCAUGAGAUCUACGGACGAAAGCAGGGGAUCGCAAGACCUUGUGCUACUAGAGCGGCCGAUGGCUGAUUAGGUAGUUGGUGGGAUAAAAGCUUACCAAGCCGACGAUCUGUAGCUGGUCUGAGAGGACGAUCAGCCACACUGGGACUGAGACACGGCCCAGACUCCUACGGGAGGCAGCAGUGGGGAAUUUUGGACAAUGGGCGCAAGCCUGAUCCAGCAAUGCCGCGUGCAGGAUGAAGGCCUUCGGGUUGUAAACUGCUUUUGUACGGAACGAAAAGCCCUGGGUUAAUACCCUGGGGUCAUGACGGUACCGUAAGAGUAAGCACCGGCUAACUACGUGCCAGCAGCCGCCGUAA